rnacentral:rRNA from 1 species
AACGUAGGAGACAAACGUUAUCCGGAGUUACUGGGCGUAAAGGGCGUGUAGGUGGUGCUGUAAGUCUGGCGUGAAAUUUUUCGGCUUAACCGGGAAAGGUCGUCGGAUACUGCAGGACUAGAGGACGGUAGAGGCGUGUGGAAUUCCGGGUGUAGUGGUGAAAUGCGUAGAGAUCCGGAGGAACACCAGUGGCGAAGGCGACACGCUGGGCCGUACCUGACACUGAGGCGCGAUAGCAUGGGGGAGCAAACAGG